rnacentral:lncRNA from 12 species
UGGGGGAUUUUUGGGGGAUUUUUUGGGAAUUCUUUUGGGAUUUUUUUAGGAUAUUUUCAGGAUUUUUUUAGGAUACUUUUAGGAGGUUUCUGGGAAUUUUUGGGGGAUUUUUUCAGGAUAUUUCCAGGACUUUUUAGGAUGUUUUUGGGAUAUUUCCCUGCAGGAUCUAUACAUUUACAUCUCAGAGCAUUUUGGGGAUAUUCCGGGGAUAUUUUUGGGAUUUUUGAGAGGAUUUUUUAGGGAAUUUUUUAGGGUUUUUUUAAGAUAUUUUCAGGAUAUUUCCAGGAUACUUUAGAAUAUUUUUGGGAUAUUUCUGUGAUUUUUUGGGGGAUUUUUUGGGGAUAUUUUCAGAAUAUUUUCAGGAUAUUUUAGGGUAUUUUUGGGAUCUUUCUGGGAUUUUUGGGGAGAUUUUUUGGGGGGAUAUUUUCAGGAUAUUUUAGGAUAUUUUUGGGAUAUUUCUGGGAUUUUUUUGGGGAUAUUUUUAGGAUAUUUUCAGGAUAUCUUAGGAUGUUUUUGGGAUGUUUCUGGGGAAUUUUUUUAGGACAUUUCCAGGACAUUUCCAGCACAUUUCCAGCACAUAUUCAGGACAUUUCCAGGACAUUUCCAGGACAUUUUCAGGACAUUUUUGGGUUCCUUCCCCGCAGGAUCUGUACGUUUACAUCUCGGAGCACGAGCACUUUACGGAUUUCAACCUGAGCUCGGCGCUGUUCUGGCAGAAGCGGGACCUGGUGUACGGGGACUGGACCAGCGGCGAGAACGCCGACGGGUGCUACGAGCACUCGGGGGAGGUGGACAUCUCCCAGGUGGGAAUGGGAAGAGCGGUUCAGCAGGAAUGCCGAGACCGCCCCCCCCCCCCCCCCCCCCCCCCCCCCCC